AGUGAACGCUGGCGGCGUGCUUAACACAUGCAAGUCGAACGAGAAACGGAUUUAGCUUGCUAAAUUGCAGCCUAAGUGGCGCACGGGAGAGUAAUGUAUAGAUAAUAUGCCUUUUACUAAGGGAUAACAGUUGGAAACGGCAGCUAAUACCUUAUAUGAGUUUAAUACAUAAGUAUGCAAGGACAAGAUUUAUUGGUAAGAGAGUAGUCUGUAUUGUAUGAGUUAGUUUGUGAGGUAAUGGCUCACCAAGACUAUGACGCAUGACUGGUUUGAGAGGAGGAACCGUCACACUGGAACUGAGACACGGUCCAGACUCCUACGGGAUGGAGCAGUAGGGAAUAUUGCACAAUGGGGGAAACCCUGAUGCAGCAACGCCGCGUGGAGAAUGACACAUUUCUGUGCGUAAACUCCUUAGAUAUGGGAAGAUAAUGACGGUACUAUAUGAAUAAGCACCGGCUAACUCCGUGCCAGCAGCCGCCGUAA
rnacentral:rRNA from 1 species